rnacentral:rRNA from 1 species
UGUCUUUUUGAAAAUAAUAUAAAGUCUAAUCUGCCCACUGAUUUAUUAUUAAAGGGCUGCAGUAUAUUGACUGUACAAAGGUAGCAUAAUCAUUAGUCAUUUAAUUGAUGACUUGUAUGAAGGAUUGGAUGAAAUAUAAACUGUCUCUUAAUUAUAUUUAGAAUUUAAUUUUUUAAUUAAAAAGUUAAAAUAAAUUAGAAAGACGAGAAGACCCUAUAGAGUUUUAUAAGUAAAAUUAAUUGAGAUUAUUUGUAAAGAUUAAAAUUAAGAUUAAUUUAUUUAUUUUGUUGGGGUGACAGAAAAAUAUAAAAAACUUUUUAUAUGUUUAAAACAUUAAUAAGUGGUUAAAUGAUCCAGUAUUAUUGAUUAUAAGAAAAAAUUACCUUAGGGAUAACAGCGUAAUUUUUUUUUUUAGUUCAUAUAAAAAAAAAAGUUUGCGACCUCGAUGUUGGAUUAAGAUAAAAUUUAAAUGCAGAAG